rnacentral:rRNA from 1 species
GAACGCUGGCGGCGUGCCUAAUACAUGCAAGUCGAGCGAACAGAGAAGGAGCUUGCUCCUUUGACGUUAGCGGCGGACGGGUGAGUAACACGUGGGCAACCUACCUUAUAGUUUGGGAUAACUCCGGGAAACCGGGGCUAAUACCGAAUAAUCUAUUUUACUUCAUGGUGAAAUACUGAAAGACGGUUUCGGCUGUCGCUAUAAGAUGGGCCCGCGGCGCAUUAGCUAGUUGGUGAGGUAACGGCUCACCAAGGCGACGAUGCGUAGCCGACCUGAGAGGGUGAUCGGCCACACUGGGACUGAGACACGGCCCAGACUCCUACGGGAGGCAGCAGUAGGGAAUCUUCCACAAUGGGCGAAAGCCUGAUGGAGCAACGCCGCGUGAGUGAAGAAGGUUUUCGGAUCGUAAAACUCUGUUGUAAGGGAAGAACAAGUACAGUAGUAACUGGCUGUACCUUGACGGUACCUUAUUAGAAAGCCACGGCUAACUACGUGCCAGCAGCCGCGGUAAUACGUAGGUGGCAAGCGUUGUCCGGAAUUAUUGGGCGUAAAGCGCGCGCAGGCGGUCCUUUAAGUCUGUGUGAAAGCCCACGGCUCAACCGUGGAGGGUCAUUGGAAACUGGGGGACUUG